UGGGGUUAGACAGGUGGGGGUGACCACGUUAGUUGCCGGUCCCACCUAUUGGAGCACAAGAGAGGAGAGGUAAUGGGGUGGGGUGGAAGCCGGACGGCAUGGCUGGGGCACGCUCGGACUGGGCGGUGCUACCGCGGCUGCCAUGAUCGCCACCGUGGGGCUUGCUGGAGCGCUCCGGGAGGGCGUUCCCGGUCGCUGCCGGCCUCAUGGAGGGCACCGGGAGAGAGAGGAGGAGGUAGCGAGGCUGGUGGUGGCGUCGAGGGGGGAGAGAGAGGCGGGAGCGGCGUGUCCGUGGAGGGGUGUUUGCUCAAGCUCGGCCGGCAGUUGUGGGAUUGGAGCAAGCGGGGAGGGCGCCUUUAAUAGGUGCCGGGGAGGGAAGGGAAAAUGAUUUUGUUUGUAACAUGAUUUUGAAUGUUUGAUGGAAGGGAAGUGUGUUUAAUUGAAGAAAAUUUUUAAAAAGCCUAUAUUUUUAAAUGCUCUAAAAAGUGGGGUGUUACAAGAUGUAAUUUGGGUAUAUGGAAGAUGUUUUUCUCUAUGAAAAAUAAUAGCAAAUAGUCCAGUGUGUGACAACAUUUUAAAGAGUCUUCUAGCUAAGCAAUGAUCAAUGUUCUCAAGCAACUGCAAAAAAAAUUCCACACUCACCAAUUUUGUUUUAAUAUCAUGCUCUGCAAUUUCAAUACACGGACCCUGAGACAUAUCUUAAAAGUUGUGUUGGAGAAACUCCAGAUGGAAACGCGUGAUCGUUUAUUAAUUCUACUCCAUAUGAGGUCUGCAGAUAAGCAACGCAUCACCAUGCAUCAAGCCACAUGUAUCGUCGCUAGACUCAAGUAACAAGUGCACAACAUAAGCAGUUAGCUAACCAGCUCUUCUAGAAUCAAAUAGUCCGAAAAAAAGAACCAACCAACUAGUCCUUAGUG
rnacentral:lncRNA from 1 species